GACAGAGGGUGCAAACGUUGCUCGGAAUCACUGGGCGUAAAGGGCGUGUAGGCGGAUCGGCAAGUCGGGCGUGAAAUCCCUGGGCUCAACCCAGGAACUGCACUCGAAACUGCCUUUCUUGAGUAUGGGAGAGGUGAGUGGAACUGCGAGUGUAGAGGUGAAAUUCGUAGAUAUUCGCAAGAACACCAGUGGCGAAGGCGGCUCACUGGCCCAUUACUGACGCUGAGGCACGAAAGCGUGGGGAGCAAACAGG
rnacentral:rRNA from 1 species